GACCCUACUACCGCCAUCCUGACCAGAUCUAGCCCAAAUACCUUGUGCUUUGACCCUAGCCUCCACCGACCACCCUCCGCCGCCCCACCCCAGCAGCCCUCAACUACCCAUCGCACCAACCUCCUCCGCCGCCGACGACCACCGCUGCCGACGAGCAACCUCCUCCGCCGCCGUCAAGUACCAUCGUCCGCAGAUCUGAUCCGCCCUCCGCCACAUCCCUAGCGCCGCCCAAAUGUCGCCGCUCCUGCCAUGCUUUCUCCCUGGGCUGCAACAUCUCCUUGCACCUCUCCCAAACUGCCGAGAUGGGCGUGCAGCGAGAUAGGUUUGGCGCCGUCGGCCCCUCCUGGUCGUCCUCCUCCUGUGCAUGCUCCUCCGCCCCUGGUCACGUCAUGCUCUCCAGCUCGUCGUCCUUCAUCCGUACUACCCCAGUUCAUGCUCCUCCGGCCUCCCCUUCUUGUACUUCGAGCCCAAGAAUCAUAAGUUAAUAGAUGUUGGUGUCUCAGAAUGACAGGAGAUAGGAGACACUGUAGGUUGGCUGCGUCCUGGUGCUGCUUUUGCCUAAUAUGGAUUCAAUUAAUUGAGGUUGGCAUCGUCACUGCAAGAUGUUUCUACAUGAUAGUAGUUGUACCAGUCAACUUGGAUGUCUAUGUAAUGGUUCUUUUUACAGUAAUACCUUCAAAGCAUUGCAAGCUCAUGCCUCUUCUGCUGGAGACAUGUGGCCAUCUUCGAAUAAUAUAAUAUCACAGGAUGGUUGCAACCAUGUGCUGAGCUUAAGCCAUGUGUGUACCAUAGUUUGAAGACUUGAAAUCUUAUCGACUUAUGUAAAGUUUGUUUACCGCUGUAGCUGGUUGCUACUGAACGCAUGUAUGGAUGUUGAAGUAUUGCUUCUUUCAGUCUAAAAAUAUUUGUGAAGUUCAAGGUUU